CUACGUGCCAGCAGCCGCGGUAAUACGGAAGGUCCAGGCGUUAUCCGGAUUUAUUGGGUUUAAAGGGAGCGUAGGCUGGAGAUUAAGUGUGUUGUGAAAUGUAGACGCUCAACGUCUGAAUUGCAGCGCGAACUGGUUCACUUGAGUAUGCACAACGUAGGCGGAAUUCGUCGUGUAGCGGUGAAAUGCUUAGAUAUGACGAAGAACUCCGAUUGCGAAGGCAGCUUACGGGAGCACAACUGACGCUGAAGCUCGAAGGUGCGGGUAUCAAACAGGAUUAGAUACCCUGGUAGUCCGCACAGUAAACGAUGGAUGCCCGUUGUUAGUUCACCUAAGAAUUAGCGACCAAGCGAAAGCAUUAAGCAUCCCACCUGGGGAGUACGCCGGCAACGGUGAAACUCAAAGGAAUUGACGGGGGCCCGCACAAGCGGAGGAACAUGUGGUUUAAUUCGAUGAUACGCGAGGAACCUUACCCGGGCUUGAA
rnacentral:rRNA from 1 species